rfam:Burkholderia sp. H160 ctg00448, whole genome shotgun sequence.
AAAAAACUCAGCGUUAGUGGACGCUGGUGAGGGACUUCUAUAAGGCCGUUCCACCCUGCAGGGAAGUGAAACGGUGACGCGUUGCGUCUUAGGACCGGGGCGACGGUAAAAAGGUUAACGCCCUACAACCAAUGUGGACGGAUUCUAUGCACCGUUUUAUAGAUCGUCAACACUAUAGAAUAUUAAAACUAUAACUAUUUGUAA